GAUGAACGCUGGCGGCGUGCCUAAUACAUGCAAGUCGAGCGAACGGACGAGAAGCUUGCUUCUCUGAUGUUAGCGGCGGACGGGUGAGUAACACGUGGAUAACCUACCUAUAAGACUGGGAUAACUUCGGGAAACCGGAGCUAAUACCGGAUAAUAUUUUGAACCGCAUGGUUCAAAAGUGAAAGACAGUCUUGUUGUCACUUAUAGAUGGAUCCGCGCUGCAUUAGCUAGUUGGUAAGGUAACGGCUUACCAAGGCAACGAUGCAUAGCCGACCUGAGAGGGUGAUCGGCCACACUGGAACUGAGACACGGUCCAGACUCCUACGGGAGGCAGCAGUAGGGAAUCUUCCGCAAUGGGCGAAAGCCUGACGGAGCAACGCCGCGUGAGUGAUGAAGGUCUUCGGAUCGUAAAACUCUGUUAUUAGGGAAGAACAUAUGUGUAAGUAACUGUGCACAUCUUGACGGUACCUAAUCAGAAAGCCACGGCUAACUACGUGCCAGCAGCCGCGGUAAUACGUAGGUGACAAGCGUUAUCCGGAAUUAUUGGGCGUAAAGCGCGCGUAGGCGGUUUUUUAAGUCUGAUGUGAAAGCCCACGGCUCAACCGUGGAGGGUCAUUGGAAACUGGAAAACUUGAGUGCAGAAGAGGAAAGUGGAAUUCCAUGUGUAGCGGUGAAAUGCGCAGAGAUAUGGAGGAACACCAGUGGCGAAGGCGACUUUCUGGUCUGUAACUGACGCUGAUGUGCGAAAGCGUGGGGAUCAAACAGGAUUAGAUACCCUGGUAGUCCACGCCGUAAACGAUGAGUGCUAAGUGUUAGGGGGUUUCCGCCCCUUAGUGCUGCAGCUAACGCAUUAAGCACUCCGCCUGGGGAGUACGACCGCAAGGUUGAAACUCAAAGGAAUUGACGGGGACCCGCACAAGCGGUGGAGCAUGUGGUUUAAUUCGAAGCAACGCGAAGAACCUUACCAAAUCUUGACAUCCUUUGACAACUCUAGAGAUAGAGCCUUCCCCUUCGGGGGACAAAGUGACAGGUGGUGCAUGGUUGUCGUCAGCUCGUGUCGUGAGAUGUUGGGUUAAGUCCCGCAACGAGCGCAACCCUUAAGCUUAGUUGCCAUCAUUAAGUUGGGCACUCUAAGUUGACUGCCGGUGACAAACCGGAGGAAGGUGGGGAUGACGUCAAAUCAUCAUGCCCCUUAUGAUUUGGGCUACACACGUGCUACAAUGGACAAUACAAAGGGCAGCGAAACCGCGAGGUCAAGCAAAUCCCAUAAAGUUGUUCUCAGUUCGGAUUGUAGUCUGCAACUCGACUACAUGAAGCUGGAAUCGCUAGUAAUCGUAGAUCAGCAUGCUACGGUGAAUACGUUCCCGGGUCU
rnacentral:rRNA from 1 species